CUUUUCUUGUCCGGCCGCCUUUGCCUCUUGACGAGGUGCUACUCGCAUAGGUUUCGAGGGGGCGAGGCUAGGGAAUUGUUGGAGCCAUUUUUGGAGGUCAACAGAUUGGCGCCGUCUGUGGGAAACGGCACAUUAACCAUGUUAUACCACAACCCAGAAAGCCAUCGAAAAAAAAGGGGAGAAAGAGAGAGAAUUUGCCAGUCGGUUUUUCUACCAAAAGGGAAAGUAGUAACCAAAAAUUGAAGAAAAAAUGGCUGCUGGAAUUGGAGUUCAAAACGGGGUCAUUUUUGAGGAUUUUCUUGGAGGUUCAUGGUGAAAAAUCAGCCAUUGAAAGGAAGAACAAUAGAGUUAUUAGCAAGCAAAGACAAACAACUCUUGCACCUUCAUCUAAAAUGUCACCCACUACAAUCAAAUUUGUGAUAUUCAAGUUGGAGGUGACCAAGAAUAACCAAAAGCCAAAAACAGAACUUCAAUGGCCUCAAAUUUCCUUCACAUAGUCUGCCUUUGCCAACCAAGAAAAGGUAAUGAAAGAUUUACAAUCAUACAACAAGAAACUCUCAAAAAUCCUCCAUAGAAGAGUCCAAUCCUUUUGCCACUUCCUCAACAAAGUUUCACACUGCCAAAUGAGUUCAUUCGUUUCAAUACAAAGACCCAUCCGUGUAAAGCUUUCAAAACAUGCCAAUGACAAAGCUUUGGCAGAAAACGGAGCUAUUUGGUGUUGGUAAUGGCAUCCUCUAACAGAGAAAGAAGAAUAAUUGUUGUGGAAAUGUUGAGGCAAAGGAGAUUCUUAGAGCGCACACAACCCGCUUGAUGAAUUGCCUCAAUAAAGUUCACAAUUCGGUGACCCUCAUUGAAGUAGCCACUGCAUCUCAAGAAAAUUUUCGACGACCACCGUUGUCAACCUUCGGUUCGGUACCCAGCAGUAUACAAGUUAAACCAACUUGGUCUGAGUUUUUCCCAUGGAGAGCAUUAAAUGUUGAUAGACAAGAAGUGAUGGUUGAGUGUUUAGACUAAGAAAGGUGGUUCAAAUCAGCCCAUGUUUUGGGCUUUUUGCUAACAAAUGCAGGCGGCUUUUACAGGUUAAUAUGUAGUCAAUUAUUCAACUUCUAAUUUUGAUUGCCUUCACGUGAUAUUCAGUCAUAUAUUACUAUAAAAAUAGUCAAUUAAUAUUUUGGGGAGGCUGCUUUUGAUUGGGCUUUUCAGAAUAAUGUGAAAGUUGCUUGGAG
rnacentral:lncRNA from 1 species